CGCACAUUGCGCCCCUCGGUAUUCCGUGGGGCAUGCCUGUUCGAGCGUCAUUUACACCCUCAAGCCUAGCUUGGUAUUGGGCGUUUGUCAAGCCUUUAGGCAUUUGACUCGCUUUAAAAUUAUUGGCAGCCUGCCUUCGCCCGUCCGAGCACAGCACAAACGUGUAUCGAGACAGCAAAAGCAAGCUCUCCAAAAGUAACUAUCUUAGUUUGACCUCGGAUCAGGUAGGAAUACCCGCUGAACUUAA
rnacentral:misc_RNA from 1 species